UUUCCGUAGGUGAACCUGCGGAAGGAUCAUUAUUGAAUGAAACACUUCUGGCUUUAUGCUGUUGUGCUGGCCCUUUGGGCAAUGUGCACACGGCUCUGGUCACUUGUUUCUUCUGUUCCACCUGUGCACUGCCUGUAGACACGCUGUGUCUAUGAUAUUUGUUGACACACAACAAUGUUAGUUGGCAUGUUAUAUAUAAUAAUAAAAUAUACAACUUUCAACAACGGAUCUCUUGGCUCUC
rnacentral:misc_RNA from 1 species